UGGGGAAUAUUGGACAAUGGGGGGAACCCUGAUCCAGCCAUGCCGCGUGUGUGAAGAAGGCCUUACGGUUGUAAAGCACUUUAAGCGAGGAGGAGGCUCUUUUGGUUAAUACCCAAGAUGAGUGGACGUUACUCGCAGAAUAAGCACCGGCUAACUCUGUGCCAGCAGCCGCGGUAAUACAGAGGGUGCGAGCGUUAAUCGGAUUUACUGGGCGUAAAGCGUGCGUAGGCGGCUUUUUAAGUCGGAUGUGAAAUCCCCGAGCUUAACUUGGGAAUUGCAUUCGAUACUGGGAAGCUAGAGUAUGGGAGAGGAUGGUAGAAUUCCAGGUGUAGCGGUGAAAUGCGUAGAGAUCUGGAGGAAUACCGAUGGCGAAGGCAGCCAUCUGGCCUAAUACUGACGCUGAGGUACGAAAGCAUGGGGAGCAAACAGG
rnacentral:rRNA from 1 species